CAGCCGCCGCGGUAACACGAAGGGUGCAAGCGUUACUCGGAAUUACUGGGCGUAAAGCGUGCGUAGGUGGUGGUUUAAGUCCGUUGUGAAAGCCCUGGGCCCAACCUGGGAAUUGCAGUGGAUACUGGGUCACUAGAGUGUGGUAGAGGAUAGUGGAAUUUCCGGUGUAGCAGUGAAAUGCGUAGAGAUCGGAAGGAACAUCUGUGGCGAAGGCGACUAUCUGGGCCAACACUGACACUGAGGCACGAAAGCGUGGGGAGCAAACAGGAUUAGAUACCCCAGUAGUCCCUGUCUCUUAUCC
rnacentral:rRNA from 1 species